rnacentral:rRNA from 1 species
UACGUAGGGAGCAAGCGUUGUCCGGAAUCAUUGGGCGUAAAGGGCGCGUAGGUGGCCCGGUCAGUUCGUGGUGAAAGCGCGGGGCUCAACCCUGCGUCGGCCAUGAAUACUGCCGCGGCUGGAGCACUGUAGAGGCAGGCGGAAUUCCGGGUGUAGCGGUGGAAUGCGUAGAGAUCCGGAAGAACACCGGUGGCGAAGGCGGCCUGCUGGGCAGUUGCUGACACUGAGGCGCGACAGCGUGGGGAGCAAACAGG